GGUGCUUGCAUCAUGAUUUACAUUUGAGUGAGUGGCGAACUGGUGAGUAACACGUGGGAAACCUGCCCAGAAGCGGGGGAUAACACCUGGAAACAGAUGCUAAUACCGCAUAACAACUUGGACCGCAUGGUCCGAGCUUGAAAGAUGGCUUCGGCUAUCACUUUUGGAUGGUCCCGCGGCGUAUUAGCUAGAUGGUGGGGUAACGGCUCACCAUGGCAAUGAUACGUAGCCGACCUGAGAGGGUAAUCGGCCACAUUGGGACUGAGACACGGCCCAAACUCCUACGGGAGGCAGCAGUAGGGAAUCUUCCACAAUGGACGAAAGUCUGAUGGAGCAACGCCGCGUGAGUGAAGAAGGGUUUCGGCUCGUAAAACUCUGUUGUUAAAGAAGAACAUAUCUGAGAGUAACUGUUCAGGUAUUGACGGUAUUUAACCAGAAAGCCACGGCUAACUACGUGCCAGCAGCCGCGGUAAUACGUAGGUGGCAAGCGUUGUCCGGAUUUAUUGGGCGUAAAGCGAGCGCAGGCGGUUUUUUAAGUCUGAUGUGAAAGCCUUCGGCUCAACCGAAGAAGUGCAUCGGAAACUGGGAGACUUGAGUGCAGAAGAGGACAGUGGAACUCCAUGUGUAGCGGUGAAAUGCGUAGAUAUAUGGAAGAACACCAGUGGCGAAGGCGGCUGUCUGGUCUGUAACUGACGCUGAGGCUCGAAAGUAUGGGUAGCAAACAGGAUUAGAUACCCUGGUAGUCCAUACCGUAAACGAUGAAUGCUAAGUGUUGGAGGGUUUCCGCCCUUCAGUGCUGCAGCUAACGCAUUAAGCAUUCCGCCUGGGGAGUACGGCCGCAAGGCUGAAACUCAAAGGAAUUGACGGGGGCCCGCACAAGCGGUGGAGCAUGUGGUUUAAUUCGAAGCUACGCGAAGAACCUUACCAGGUCUUGACAUACUAUGCAAAUCUAAGAGAUUAGACGUUCCCUUCGGGGACAUGGAUACAGGUGGUGCAU
rnacentral:rRNA from 1 species